rnacentral:tRNA from 1 species
GGCGGCGUAGCCAAGUGGUAAGGCAAGGGUCUGCAAAACCUUUAUACGGCAGUUCGAACCUGCCCGCCGCCUCCA